GUGAGGAAUAUUGGUCAAUGGGCGGGAGCCUGAACCAGCCAAGUCGCGUGAAGGAAGAAGGAUCUAUGGUUCGUAAACUUCUUUUGCAGGGGAAUAAAGUGCAGGACGUGUCCUGUUUUGUAUGUACCCUGAGAAUAAGGAUCGGCUAACUCCGUGCCAGCAGCCGCGGUAAUACGGAGGAUCCGAGCGUUAUCCGGAUUUAUUGGGUUUAAAGGGUGCGUAGGUGGUUUGAUAAGUCAGCGGUGAAAGUUUGCAGCUUAACUGUAAAAAUGCAGUUGAAACUGUCGGACUUGAGUGUAAAUGAGGUAGGCGGAAUGCGUGGUGUAGCGGUGAAAUGCAUAGAUAUCACGCAGAACUCCGAUUGCGAAGGCAGCUUACUAAGCUACAACUGACACUGAAGCACGAAAGCGUGGGGAUCAAACAGGAUUAGAAACCCUGGUAGUCC
rnacentral:rRNA from 1 species